rnacentral:rRNA from 1 species
UUCUUCGGAGAGUUUGAUCCUGGCUCAGGAUGAACGCUGGCGGCGUGCCUAAUACAUGCAAGUCGAGCGAACUGAUUAGAAGCUUGCUUCUAUGACGUUAGCGGCGGACGGGUGAGUAACACGUGGGCAACCUGCCUGUAAGACUGGGAUAACUUCGGGAAACCGAAGCUAAUACCGGAUAGGAUCUUCUCCUUCAUGGGAGAUGAUUGAAAGAUGGUUUCGGCUAUCACUUA